UACGGAGGGUGCAAGCGUUAUCCGGAUUCACUGGGUUUAAAGGGUGUGUAGGCGGAUACUUAAGUCAGUGGUGAAAUCUCCGGGCUCAACCCGGAAACUGCCAUUGAUACUAUAUAUCUUGAAUUCUGUUGAGGUGGGCGGAAUACAUCAUGUAGCGGUGAAAUGCUUAGAUAUGAUGUAGAACACCGAUUGCGAAGGCAGCUCACUAAACAGACAUUGACGCUGAGGCACGAAAGCGUGGGGAUCAAACAGG
rnacentral:rRNA from 1 species